CCCUUAGAUGUCCUGGGCCGCACGCGCGUUACACUGAUGCAUUCAACGAGCUUAUAACCUUGGCCGAGAGGCCCGGGCAAUCUUGUUAACGUGCAUCGUGAUAGGGAUAGAUUAUUGAAAUUAUUAAUCUUGAACGAGGAAUUCCUAGUAAACGCAGAUCAUCAAUCUGCAUUGAUUACGUCCCUGCCCUUUGUACACACCGCCCGUCGCACCUACCGAUUGGAUGGUCCGGUGAAGCCUCGGGAUUGUGGUUCUUGCCGCUUUGUUGUGGCGUGACCGCGAGAACUUGUCUAAACCUUAUCAUCUAGAGGAAGGUGAAGUCGUAACA
rnacentral:rRNA from 1 species